rnacentral:rRNA from 1 species
ACUCCUACGGGAGGCAGCAGUGGGAAUUUUGGACAAUGGGGGCAACCCUGAUCCAGCCAUCCCGCGUGUGCGAUGAAGGCCUUCGGGUUGUAAAGCACUUUUGGCAGGGAAGAAACAGCCUGGGCUAAUAUCCCGGGCGACUGACGGUACCUGCAGAAUAAGCACCGGCUAACUACGUGCCAGCAGCCGCGGUAAUACGGAGGGGGUUAGCGUUGUUCGGAAUUACUGGGCGUAAAGCGCGCGUAGGCGGAUUGGAAAGUUGGGGUGAAAUCCCGGGCUCAACCCGAACGGCAGCUCCAAAACUCCCAGUCUUGAGUUCGAGAGAGGUGAGUGGAAUUCCGAGUGUAGAGGUGAAAUUCGUAGAUAUUCGGAGGAACACCAGUGGCGAAGGCGGCUCACUGGCUCGAUACUGACGCUGAGGUGCGAAAGCGUGGGGAGCAAAACAGGAUUAGAUACCCUGGUAGGUCAGU